rnacentral:rRNA from 1 species
CCUACGGUGGACAGCAGUGGGGAAUAUUGCACAAUGGGGGAAACCCUGAUGCAGCGACGCCGCGUGAGUGAAGAAGUAUUUCGGUAUGUAAAGCUCUAUCAGCAGGAACGAGACAAGACGGUACCUGACUAAGAAGCCCCGGCUAACUACGUGCCAGCAGCCGCGGUAAUACGUAGGGGGCAAGCGUUAUCCGGAAUCACUGGGUGUAAAGGGAGCGUAGACGGCUGAGCAAGCCUGAAGUGAAAGGCGGGGGCCCAACCCCCGGACUGCUUUUGGAACUGUGCGGCUGGAGUGCAGGAGAGGUAAGUGGAAUUCCUAGUGUAGCGGUGAAAUGCGUAGAUAUUAGGAGGAACACCAGUGGCGAAGGCGGCUUACUGGACUGUAACUGACGUUGAGGCUCGAAAGCGUGGGGAGCAAACAGGAUUAGAUACCCGUGUAGUC